AGGACGCAAAUUUUUCCGUAAAAAUGAUCGCAAAUUAGCUGAAAGCCGAGAAUUGGAAUUACACAAAUUUGUAAAAGAGAUUUUGUUGAUGCAUCCACAGAUGUCCAGUAGUCCAGUUAUUGUUGAGUUCUUUGAAGCCCGUUCGCAUGACCCAAUUCCACCGAUGAGAGAACCUUUGGAAACCACAGACUUCUAUGAGAUGGAUGAAUAUGAUGCCUACACAUGAACAACAUACAAGACACUCUCUGCUGUUGAUGUACAUAAAACAAGGAACAGACCUGGCUCUAGCUGCUAUUGCUACUAAAAAUUCGGUACGGUUCUAAAGAAGACGUGAAAAACUGUUGAAUUCAGUUUAUUAUUAUUUUUUUUUUUGUAUACAUAUAAUAAUAAUAAUAAUAAUAUUGUU
rnacentral:lncRNA from 1 species